UAGAGCAACGAACCACCUCUGGGUGGUGCUGGAAAGGAACUUGGCAUCCUCUGGUUAGCAGCCUCCUGGCCAGGAGGUUGUACUCACUUGCGAGGUUUCCCUUCCAUUCCUCUGCUCCCUGCUCAGCUCACUUCACCUGUGGUACCUCCCUCAGCUUCAUGGGAAACCCUUUCUGAGCAUCUUAAAAGAGUUCUACCGAAUGCUACAGAACUCAGCAGGAAUGGCCCAGUUAGCUCUGCGAGCACAUCCCGAGAGGCUCAGUGGGCAGUUGUGGAUUUCAGCCCUGCCUCUACUUCAUCAUCCCCACUCUGAAAUCUUACCAAUCAAGACAGCCGAGUGCCUCGGGAGUCAGCAUCAACAAAUGUGACGCCACCAAAUGGAACUAGAGGAGUGAGAGGCAGCUCCAGCGAAGAAGUGCCCGAGUCCCUGGUUGUGUUGAUCACUGUGACGUGCUGCUCUCUGCAUCCAAAAUGACUGAUGGGCCUGUAAUUUGUUGUUGCUGUUGUUUUGGCAUACAUUUGCAGAAGCAAACUUGUUCACGGUUCCCCUGCUGAAAGCUCAACCAUCUGAGUGCCAUAGGAAACAGACUUUGGCAUUUUAGCUGCUCACAGACUGGGUCAUCCAUAAAAGUUUAAUUUUCUAAAAAUAUUCAGCGAGGUGCUUUUCCUGAAUGAGAUGGUUUCUGGCUCAUCAACGAAUUUAUGUGAGUAAAUAGAAGGAGGAUCAGUACGUCAGGAAUCUAAUCAGCUAUCAUCCAGUCCAUCUGGUUUAAUUAGAGAGCCCAGCAGUUCGCAGUCACCUUUUAGUAAAAGGCUUCCGAACCAGCUCCCCUAAGGGUGGGGGUGCUUCUGAAUGUGGUUUCAAAUGCUUGUCAUGUUCCCUGCCUCCACGGAGCCCCCUUAUCCGAUUCCCAUCACAGUUACACACAUCACUGCGUGUCUCCAAAGGGCAUGCAAAUGGAAGCAAAUGUGACACAGGGGACACCACUGAAUGUCCCUCCAAUCAUCUGCUAAGCAUCAAUUAAACAGGCAUGCACUGGUGUCCACUCUGUGCCACGGACUGGGUAAACAGCGCUUGGACCAGCUCUAGUGGGGGUGACCAGCGUGUAAACAGAUCAUUUCUAAACUCUGAGGCUACACUAAGAUAGUGAGAUAGCCCCAGAAAUGGUAUCUGAAGAGGGUCUGAACUGACUCUGGAAUGAUAAUUGGGAGCAAAUACGGACCGAAGAAUGAGGAAGGUUCCAGGUGAAUAGUCCUGAAGCAUGAACCAAAACUAGCUGGAUGGGCUUGUUAAAAUACAGAUUUCUGGGCCCUGCCCUCAGAUUUUUCUGAUUCAAGAGGUCUGGAGUAGGGCCAGACAAUCUGUGCUAACACAUACCCCACUGAUUCUCACUCCACUGCUUCUGGGACUAUAUUUUGAGCAUCUCAGCUCAGGCUCACACUGGAUUCACCUGGGAAUUUCAAAAGCAACUGAACCCUGGGUCUCCUCCCUGGAGAUUCUGUUUUAAUUGGUUUGGUAUGCAAACUGGACAUCAGGGAUUUUGUGUGUUUGCAUUUUAAGAAUUUCAAACUUACAGAAAAAUUACAGUAUAAGUAACUUUUUUUUAAUUGCACCAUUUGGAAGUAAUUUGAUUUGGUGUCCAAUUACUCCCUUCUUUGCAGUGAGUAUUUUCUUCCAAAUGAGAACCUUCUCCAACAUAAUUGCCAUGUGACCAUUAACAUCGGGAAAUCCACACUGAUAUGUUAUGAUCAAGUUCUGGCAAAUGCUAAUUUUCUUUUUUUUAUAGUAAAAGGCUCCAGAAUUCGUAACUGCACGUCA